CGCCUCAGUACAGUCAACAUGAACAAUACCUGAGGCAAACAAGGGUAGAUAAUAAUUGAGUGAAGUAAACUGCAAUGUGUGCUAUGUUACUGGAGUGUUAAAAACAGUACAGGAGAUCUUGUUAAUGUCAUAAUGUAUUCCCUAAUUUUGAACGAUAUAUUGUGUAUUUUGAAUGUCUUUUUAAGCACGAGAUCCAAGGCAAUAUCUAUUGUAAUCUGUACAUGUAUUGAGAAUGUUCUCCUUUUUGGAUUACUUUUGGCUCUUCCUCAAAGUUCUCAAAUGUCAGAAUUUUUUUCCCCACAUGACAAGGUAGACUGGACUUCACUCAGACUCGACUGCACCUCAAUAAUUCUGUUCAUUCUAACCCGAUCGGGUCGAUCCAGAAGGCGCUGGAGCAGUUCUUCAGAGAGGAGGGUAUAGAGUAUGCCUGCGGAGAAUGUGACUGCAAGCAGGCUAUAGUCGCGCAUAAGUUCACUAAGCUACCAAGGGUAAUUAUCAUUCAUCUUAAGCGCUACAAAUUUGACGCCUGACGCCUUCCAGUACUCCAAGCUCCGUCGCCGCAUCCUCAUACCCAGGUACUUGUCCGUCCACUACCACUGCACCAAGGAAACCCAGAGUCCAACCUCUCUCCCAAAGUCAUUAGUCAACGGGACGUCAUCUCCAAGGCCACAACAACUCAAUGCCGAGAGAACUCAAAGGUUGUCCCUCACAGCCCCGUCGACGAGGGAAUCUAAUUGGUCUGCAAGGAGCGAGUCGUUUAAGCCCUCGCGCUUCAGUUUUGCGCCCUCAAGGAAGAGGCUGAACUAUGACGACAACAGGUCUAAAAGAGAAAUGACAAGACAAGCACAUAAGAAAAUGAGAUGAUGGAAAACCUCUUUAGUUGUUUGUGUUCUGCUCAGAUGUUGCCUAGCGACUAGGGAU